CCCUUCGGGGUGCGCAGGCGCGAAACCUUUGCAAUACACGAAAGUGUGACAGGGUCAUCCCGAGUGCCGACCGCUGAGGUUGGCUUUUACCCAGUCUAGAAAGCUGGGGGAAUAAGGAGAGGGCAAGUCUGGUGUCAGCCGCCGCGGUAAUACCAGCUCUCCGAGUGGUGUGGACGUUUAUUGGGCCUAAAGCAUCCGUAGCUGGCUGAACAAGUCCCCUGUUAAACCCACCGAUUUAAUCGUUGGCUUGCGGGGGAUACUGCUCGGCUAGGGGACGAGAGAGGCAGACGGUAUUCCCGGGGUAGGGGUGAAAUCCUAUAAUCCCGAGAAGACCACCAGUGGCGAAGGCUGUCUGCUAGAACGCGCCCGACGGUGAGGGAUGAAAGCUGGGGGAGCGAACCGGAUUAGAUACCCGGGUAGUCCCAGCUGUAAACGAUGCAGACUAGGUGUUUGGACGGCCACGUGCCGUUCUAGUGCCGCAGGGAAGCUGUUAAGUCUGCCGCCUGGGGAGUACGAUCGCAAGAUUGAAACUUAAAGGAAUUGGCGGGGGAGCAC
rnacentral:rRNA from 1 species